rnacentral:rRNA from 1 species
UGAAGUCAGCGGCGGACGGGUGAGUAACACGUGGGCAACCUGCCUGUAAGACUGGGAUAACUCCGGGAAACCGGGGCUAAUACCGGAUAACUCUUUUCCUCACAUGAGGAAAAGCUGAAAGAUGGUUUCGGCUAUCACUUACAGAUGGGCCCGCGGCGCAUUAGCUAGUUGGUGAGGUAACGGCUCACCAAGGCCACGAUGCGUAGCCGACCUGAGAGGGUGAUCGGCCACACUGGGACUGAGACACGGCCCAGACUCCUACGGGAGGCAGCAGUAGGGAAUCUUCCGCAAUGGACGAAAGUCUGACGGAGCAACGCCGCGUGAGUGAUGAAGGUUUUCGGAUCGUAAAACUCUGUUGUCAGGGAAGAACAAGUACCGGAGUAACUGCCGGUACCUUGACGGUACCUGACCAGAAAGCCACGGCUAACUACGUGCCAGCAGCCGCGGUAAUACGUAGGUGGCAAGCGUUGUCCGGAAUUAUUGGGCGUAAAGCGCGCGCAGGCGGUUCCUUAAGUCUGAUGUGAAAGCCCCCGGCUCAACCGGGGAGGGUCAUUGGAAACUGGGGAACUUGAGUGCAGAAGAGAAGAGUGGAAUUCCACGUGUAGCGGUGAAAUGCGUAGAGAUGUGGAGGAACACCAGUGGCGAAGGCGACUCUUUGGUCUGUAACUGACGCUGAGGCGCGAAAGCGUG